GUAAUGUCUGGGAAACUGCCUGAUGGAGGGGGAUAACUACUGGAAACGGUGGCUAAUACCGCAUAACGUCGCAAGACCAAAGAGGGGGACCUUCGGGCCUCUUGCCAUCAGAUGUGCCCAGAUGGGAUUAGCUAGUUGGUGAGGUAACGGCUCACCAAGGCGACGAUCCCUAGCUGGUCUGAGAGGAUGACCAGCCACACUGGAACUGAGACACGGUCCAGACUCCUACGGGAGGCAGCAGUGGGGAAUAUUGCACAAUGGGCGCAAGCCUGAUGCAGCCAUGCCGCGUGUAUGAAGAAGGCCUUCGGGUUGUAAAGUACUUUCAGCGGGGAGGAAGGUGUUGUGGUUAAUAACCGCAGCAAUUGACGUUACCCGCAGAAGAAGCACCGGCUAACUCCGUGCCAGCAGCCGCGGUAAUACGGAGGGUGCAAGCGUUAAUCGGAAUUACUGGGCGUAAAGCGCACGCAGGCGGUCUGUCAAGUCGGAUGUGAAAUCCCCGGGCUCAACCUGGGAACUGCAUUCGAAACUGGCAGGCUUGAGUCUUGUAGAGGGGGGUAGAAUUCCAGGUGUAGCGGUGAAAUGCGUAGAGAUCUGGAGGAAUACCGGUGGCGAAGGCGGCCCCCUGGACAAAGACUGACGCUCAGGUGCGAAA
rnacentral:rRNA from 1 species